rnacentral:rRNA from 1 species
GUGCCAGCAGCCGCGGUAAUACUAGCGGUCCAAGUCGCAACCACAUUUAUUGGGUCUAAAACAUCCGUAGCUUGCUUGAUAAGUUUCUUGUGAAAUUCUAUGUCUCAAACCAUAGAGCGUGCAAGAAAUACUAUCUAGCUAGAGAUCGGGAGACGUAAGGAGUACGUUUAAAGUAGUAGUAAAAUGCUUUAAUCUUAAGCGGACUAACAAUAGCGAAGGCACCUUACGAGAACGGUUCUGACAGUCAGGGAUGAAGGCUAGGGGCGCAAAACGGAUUAGAUACCCGUGUAGUCCUAGCAGUAAACACUGUACACUAAACAUUGGGACCUCUUCGAGAGGUUUCAGUGCUGCAGAGAAGCCGAAGAGUGUACUACCUGGGAAGUAUAGCCGCAAGGCCGAAACUCAAAGAAAUUGACGG